rnacentral:misc_RNA from 1 species
UCUGUCCAUCUUAUUGAGGGUAUAAUUGAUCAAGUUGAGGGAACAAUACAUGUGUCUUGGGUGCAGCCGAGAGUUCUGGGGAUUCCACAGAUCAAAUCGUUGCGAGAUCGAUUGGAUAAUUGGCUGGAUAAAGUACACACUGCCUUACUAUCCAUUGAAGCCGAAACACCUGAUCUAGUAGCAUUAUGAUAUUUCUCUUUUUGACUUUUCUCGCCUCUUUUCCCUUCUGUUAGUGAUUGAUUUUCUCUCUGCCCAUUGUAACAAAUUCUUAAUCCAAAAGGGAAAAAAUUCAUAGGCAGCUAAGUGGAGAGACUAGAGUAAGUCACACUAGGGCAGUUGCGCCAACUUUGUUUGCUUCCUUGUCAUAUUGCAGAACCAAAUUUCUAAAAGGAGCAGCGGUUUACCUUUUUCACUUGGAAUUUGUCACUUCUGAGUGGCAUGCCUAGAGAUACAGUGAAUUGAUUGAAAAGGACAAAGAAAUUCUCUACUUAAGUGUGGUUAAACUAAUUUGUAUUGGGAAAUUUCCUUUGAUACAGGUACUGGUUGCUGUUCAAAUGGUUGUUUCGUGCAUUUUUUAUGGGGUAGUAACAGCAUUUCAUUUCAAAAAAAAAAAAAAAAAAA